GUGAAAUUGAACUCGCUGUGAAGAUGCAGUGUACCCGCGGCAAGACGGAAAGACCCCGUGAACCUUUACUAUAGCUUGACACUGAACAUUGAGCCUUGAUGUGUAGGAUAGGUGGGAGGCUUUGAAGUGUGGACGCCAGUCUGCAUGGAGCCGACCUUGAAAUACCACCCUUUAAUGUUUGAUGUUCUAACGUGGACCCGUAAUCCGGGUUGCGGACAGUGUCUGGUGGGUAGUUUGACUGGGGCGGUCUCCUCCUAAAGAGUAACGGAGGA
rnacentral:rRNA from 4 species